rnacentral:rRNA from 1 species
AACGUAGGGGGCCAGCGUUGCUCGGAAUUACUGGGCGUAAGGGGUCCGUAGGCGGUGUGGCAAGUCGGAAGUGAAAUCUCUGGGCUUAACCCAGAGGCUGCUUCCGAAACUGCUGUGCUAGAGUGUGAGAGAGGCGAGUGGAAUUGCGGGUGUAGCGGUGAAAUGCGUAGAUAUCCGCAGGAACAUCCGAGGCGAAAGCGGCUCGCUGGAUCACAACUGACGCUGGGGGACGAAAGCUAGGGGAGCAAACAGG